CGGAUUCCCGAACGCCGGCUCCCCGCAGUCCCAGAAGGGCUCCAGGGCGGGUCGCGCGGGGCUGAGCGAGGCUGGCCGGAUCCUGGCCCUCGGGCCACUUGCGGAAGCCCGAGUCCAGAGCAGAGCGCGGGGAGGCCGGGGAGGCCGGGCGGCGCCGAGCCUUGGAGGCCGCGGCCGGGACUGGAGCGGGGAGGGCAGCCAGACACCUGCUGCCUGGCGCGGGUUACAAGACUCGGUCGGUGGCAAAGAAGACGACAGGUCGGGGCCGGAUUUAGAAGCGGAGCGCACGGGCCUGGCUGAUUUGGAGCGGGAAGGCAGGGAAAGAAGGAACCUGAGGGUGACGUCUCCCUGUUUCUGCCGAGAGGAACCAGCACCCCACUGAGGUCUGCUAGAUAUCUUACUGUUUCCUUCACAGUCAAGUUUCUUGAAAAUAGUCUUCAUUCUCAUUGCCUCACCUCCUGCUUGCCCCAGGUGGCGGGAGCCAUAACCCACAGGAGGUUCAGCUGAACACGGAGACUGGGUUGGGAAGUAGGCCGGUGGCUGGAGACCCUGGGACAGGCAGUGUGAGUGGAGGGGCGGAACAACAGCCUGGUUGGAGAGGAAUGAAGAACUAGACAUGCAGAAGCGGAGACAGCGAGUGGGAUUUUGCUUUAGAGCAGAGAAAUGAGGCAGAGGCUAACAGGGUAGGCCAGGUCCAGGGAGGUGUUUACAGCUUGUUUGUAGGUUGACAAGAGUGAUCCGGGAGGGAGGAGAAGUUAAUGAUGCAGUGGGGAGAGCAGAGUCACCGAGCAGAGGAGAGGGUAGGGGACCCAGUGCCCUGUGGGGAAGUGGCCCGAUGGAAGUCAGGAUGCCUGGUCCAAGGCAUGGGGGGGGUGUGGGAGGCAGAUAAUGCCUCCCCCAUGACCACAUCCCAGCUCCCAGAACCCUCGAGGAUGUUACUUUACAUGGUAAAAGAGAUUCUGCAAAUAUGACGGACUAAGUUAAGGAGCUUGGUUUGGGGAGAUUAUCCUGGAUUAUCCAGUUGGGCCCGAUGUAUUCACAAGGGUCCUUAAAGGCAGAAGGAAGGAGGAGGCAGAAGUGGGUCUGGGGAUACAGGAGGGCGGAUGAAGGGUCAGAGUGAUGCAACACUUUGAUGAAGGAGCUUUGAAGAUGGAGGAAGGGGCCAUUGUCCAAGGAACGUGGGUGGCCUCUGAAUCGAGGAAAGGCACAGAAAUGGAUUACCCUCAAGCUUCCAGAAAGGAAAGCAGCCCUGCCUGCCGGCACCUUGAUUGUAGCCCAGUGGAUCCUGUGUUGGACUUCUAACCUGCAAGAUAGUAAACGUUUGUGCGUUGUUUUAAGCCA